rnacentral:rRNA from 1 species
AACGAACGCUGGCGGCGCGCCUAACACAUGCAAGUCGCACGAGAGGCUCUUCGGAGUAGUACAGUGGCGCACGGGUGAGUAAGACAGGGGUAACCUGCCUUUGAGAGGGGAAUAACCAGCCGAAAGGCUGGCUAAUACCCCAUACGCUUCCGGUCCCUCGGGUAAGGAAGGAAAGCUGCAUCGUGGAUGUGGCGCUCAAAGAGGGGCUCAUGGCCUAUCAGCUUGUUGGUGGGGUAACGGCCUACCAAGGCAACGACGGGUAGCUGGUCUGAGAGGACGAUCAGCCACACUGGCACUGAGAUACGGGCCAGACUCCUACGGGAGGCAGCAGUGAGGAAUAUUGCGCAAUGGGCGAAAGCCUGACGCAGCGACG